rnacentral:rRNA from 1 species
CACGUAGGGCGCAAGCGUUGUCCGGAUUUAUUGGGCGUAAAGAGCGUGUAGGCGGCCAGACAGGUCCGUUGUGAAAACUCGAGGCUCAACCUCGAGAUGUCGAUGGAAACCGUCUGGCUAGAGUCCGGAAGAGGAGUGUGGAAUUCCUGGUGUAGCGGUGAAAUGCGCAGAUAUCAGGAAGAACACCUAUGGCGAAGGCAGCACUCUGGGACGGUACUGACGCUGAGACGCGAAAGCGUGGGGAGCAAACAGG